CUACGGGUGGCUGCAGUGGGGAAUAUUGCACAAUGGGCGCAAGCCUGAUGCAGCAACGCCGCGUGAGGGAUGAAGGCCUUCGGGUUGUAAACCUCUUUUAGCAGGGAAGAAGCGAAAGUGACGGUACCUGCAGAAAAAGCACCGGCUAACUACGUGCCAGGCAGCCGCGGUAAUACGUAGGGUGCAAGCGUUGUCCGGAAUUAUUGGGCGUAAAGAGCUCGUAGGCGGUUUGUCACGUCUGCUGUGAAAAUCCAAGGCUCAACCUUGGACUUGCAGUGGGUACGGGCAGGCUAGAGUGCGGUAGGGGAGAUGGGAAUUCCUGGUGUAGCGGUGGAAUGCGCAGAUAUCAGGAGGAACACCAAUGGCGAAGGCACAUCUCUGGGCCGUAACUGACGCUGAGGAGCGAAAGCGUGGGGAGCGAACAGGAUUAGAUACCCCGGUAGUC
rnacentral:rRNA from 1 species